CCCCACCCCCGCGUGACGAUGUCGUCCUUCGCCGCUGCCAGGUCCCUCGCGCGCUCCGCCGCUGCCCGAUCAAUUCGGACUAUGAAUUUAGCUACUGGCGCCAGAGCAAGACCAACGUGUUCGCCAUUUGGGAUCCCAAAGCGGAACCCACUCUCUAAUCGCAUGUUCAGGUCGCCUGUGGAGCUGAGCUGCUGCGUGGAAUCGAUGCUUCCUUAUCACACUGCCACAGCAUCUGCAUUGCUCACUUCCAUGCUCGCUGUAUCUCGCCGAUCAUACGGUUGGACCCCUGAAGGGCAAGAGGAGACUAGAUGAAGAUCAAGCAACGAAUGUCUCUCUUGGGUUGAGAACUACGCUACAGUGGUUUAGAUUGCAAUCAUGAUGUAUAAUGAAUGACGAAGGGUUCGCGCAAAGUUUUAUGUAGAUGCUCUCCUGAAAAGGUGGUCAACUAAAAUUUUGUUAUAGGAUUUCACUUAAUUUUUGCUUCAUUAUGUAAUGUAAGAAAAGCAAUUACUGGGAGUUGUUGAAUGGCACCAAACCCCCACCAAUAAGUUACUGCAUUAUAAUUUGGUUUCUUUCUCAAAAUGGAUAACUUAAUGCUCUUAUAUGUUGGAGUGCACAUGCUUGCAGUGUAAAAGAGUGAUAAAUGGUACACUAUAUUAGGGUGCUAUAAUAUAAAUGAUCAUAGUCCUUGCAGGA